AUAUAUAGGUUCAUUUCAAGAUGAUUAAAAGGGAAUACAGUGUGAUUCUGUAACAGCCCUCGCUACUGUAAGAAGGACGUCUGUCCAUUGGACACUGGGAAACCGGGAAGUCGGACAAGAUGGUUGAGUUCAAGUCAGGAGACCUGCCAUAUAUGAU
rnacentral:ncRNA from 1 species